rnacentral:rRNA from 1 species
UACGUAGGGUGCAAGCGUUGUCCGGAAUUAUUGGGCGUAAAGGGCUCGUAGGCGGUCUGUCGCGUCGGGAGUGAAAACUCAGGGCUUAACCCUGAGCCUGCUUCCGAUACGGGCAGACUAGAGGUAUGCAGGGGAGAACGGAAUUCCUGGUGUAGCGGUGAAAUGCGCAGAUAUCAGGAGGAACACCGGUGGCGAAGGCGGGUCUCUGGGCCGAUACUGACGCUGAGGAGCGAAAGCGUGGGGAGCGAACAGG